rnacentral:tRNA from 1 species
GCUAGAAGUGGCGAAAUUAAGCAGGUUUUCAAGUGCUUAAAUGGCUUGCCAUCACUUGAACCCACCGUAGAAAUACGUGCCGGUUCGAGUCCGGCCUUCGGCACCA